GAUUUAAAAGAAAUUAGUGCAAAUGAUAAACCUCCUGUAUGGGUUGAAUGGAGGGAGACACUAGAUUGUGAUGAUCCUUCCAAACCAGAUGUAUCUCCUGUGCCAAAUGGUGAGCUUCAAGUGGACUCAGAGAAUCAGGGUAGUGAUAGUGAUCCAGAUGCAGCUAAACCUGAGGUGGGGAACCGGGAUGGUGAUACUGAUCCAGAUGCUGCUAAACCUGCAACUUCCAUGGAUGCAUUGGCAGAUGACAACAAUGCUACUGAGGAAUUGUCAAAUGAAACAAAUGAAAGCCCUACUCUCAAUCCUCCUGCAUUGUCAGAAUUGGGUAAUGAUAAUCCAAGUGUGGACCAUAGUGCUUCUGAUGAUACUGAGGCGACAGCAGGAACUGCUGAGGUCAGUAAGGAUGAACAAAAAGAUGUGGUCAAGCAAGCAGAAAACUAAAUGUAAAUUCUCAAGAGAGUCGGUUUAAUUGCCUAACUAGUACUCUGCAGCAGCAACAUUGAUAAGGAGGGAAAGAUGAAUACUGAGAGCGCUGCUGGUUGAUUAGGUGACUGUAUUUUAGAGCUUCUGUACAUCUUCGAUGGGCACUGUUAUUUAGUAGGGUUGAUUCUUUUUCCCCACC
rnacentral:misc_RNA from 1 species